rnacentral:rRNA from 1 species
AUUGAACGCUGGCGGCAUGCCUAACACAUGCAAGUCGAGCGGAGGAAGGUAGCUUGCUCCUUGAUUCAGCGUCGGACGGGUGAGUAAUACCUAGGCAUCUUCCUGGUAGUGUGGGAUAACGUCCGACAACGGGCGCUAAUACCUCAUACGGCCUGCGGUAUAAUGUGGGGGAUCUUCGUACCUGACGCUAUCCGCUGACCCUUGGGCUGAUUCUCUAGUUGGUGGGGUAACGGCCUACCAAGGCUGCUAUCCGUAACUGGUCUGAGAGGAGGAUCAGUCACACUGGAACUGGGACACGGUCCAGCUUCCACCGGGAGGAAGAAGUGGGAAAUAUUCGACAAUGGGCGAAAGCUUGCUGAAGACAGGCCGCGUGUGUGAAGCAGGUCUUCGGAUUGUAAAGUAUUUUAAGCUGGGCGGAAGGGCAGUAAGCUAAUAGUUUGCUGUUUUGACGUUACCAACAGAAUAAGCACCGGCUAACUUCGUG